UGGGGAAUCUUCCGCAAUGGACGAAAGUCUGACGGAGCAACGCCGCGUGUAUGAUGAAGGUCUUCGGAUUGUAAAGUACUGUCAUUGGGGAAGAACGGUUUUCUUGAAAAGAUUGAGAAGACAUGACGGUACCCAAGGAGGAAGCCCCGGCUAACUACGUGCCAGCAGCCGCGGUAAUACGUAGGGGGCAAGCGUUGUCCGGAAUUAUUGGGCGUAAAGGGCGCGUAGGCGGGCCUUUAAGUCCGGUGUGAAAGAUCAGGGCUCAACCCUGAGAGUGCAUCGGAAACUGGAGGCCUUGAGGACAGGAGAGGAAAGUGGAAUUCCACGUGUAGCGGUGAAAUGCGUAGAUAUGUGGAGGAACACCAGUGGCGAAGGCGACUUUCUGGACUGUAAGCUGACGCUGAGGCGCGAAAGCGUGGGGAGCAAACAGGAUUAGAUACCCUGGUAGUCCACGCCGUAAACGAUGAGUGCUAGGUGUAGAGGGUAUCGACCCCUUCUGUGCCGCAGUUAACACAAUAAGCACU
rnacentral:rRNA from 1 species